UUACAAGCAAGGAACAGAGGAGGAGAUGGGUCUUGAGUAUAUUUGCAGUGAUUUAAAAGGGACCACACAUUUCCCUAGCACAGAAGCUGUUCUAAGGCCAGCUCUUGUGAGUCUGAGAAAAUAGUUUCUCCCCACUUCACACCCUCUCUCCAGCAUUAAGCAGCUUCUGUGAGAUGCAGGUAUUGCGCAGCGAUGCACGGCCAUCAAGUACCACUUUUCUCAGCCCAUCCGCUUGCGAAACAUUCCUUUUAAUUUAACCAAGACCAUACAGCAAGAUGAGUGGCACCUGCUUCAUUUAAGAAGAAUCACUGCUGGCUUCCUCGGCAUGGCCGUAGCCGUCCUUCUCUGCGGCUGCAUUGUGGCCACAGUCAGUUUCUUCUGGGAGGAGAGCUUGACCCAGCACGUGGCUGGACUCCUGUUCCUCAUGACAGGGAUAUUUUGCACCAUUUCCCUCUGUACUUAUGCCGCCAGUAUCUCGUAUGAUUUGAACCGGCUCCCAAAGCUAAUUUAUAGCC
rnacentral:sRNA from 1 species